GGAGGUAUUCCUGUUUUGGUUCUGGGAAGGAGGAAGAGGAGGACGUCGACAACGGGGAGAACAAAAAUAUAGGCGCAAUUACUAUCACUCUCCUACACUUAGCCUAUAUUUAUUAAAACUCACCUAACUUUAAUUUUUUUUCUGAUACUCUUAUGCUACGUUUGAACUUUUACCUUUUCUUUUCCCCUAUUCUUUUUAAACAUCCAAAUUACCCCUCAUUUUCACCCAUUAACUGAUUCAUCUCUUAUUUAAUUAUUUAUUAUUUAUUUGCUAAUCGUUUUUUCUCUGCUCCUCCUCCGUCGAACACGACGGCAGGCGAACCCGCACCACCCUCCUUUCCUCAUCUUCACUUUCCCAAUAGGAAGAGGAAAGAGCAGGUCAAGUUCCCAACCUCCUCCUCUCCCAGCUCUCCCCUGCCCACCACUAAAUAAAAAGAAAUUAAACUCCCUCAACGAUUUAACCCUAAAAACCUAAGCUUUCUGGCUCUCUCUUCCCCAAUUUGCGCUCUCGCUGCCUUGGUCGUCCUUGAAUCAUCGGUGGUGAUGGGAAAUUAAUGGUGGUCUUUCCGGACCUACGGUGGUGAUCGGAAGCUGGAGAGUGUGAAUGGUAAGGUUUUCAGGGCCAACGAGCUCCACAGAUCUUAAUGAUGUCUCUACUGAAAGCCAUAGAGUGCUUGAAAUUUCGCUUCUUCAACAUUGAGAGAUGGUUCUGAAGCAUCUGUUAGAGAGAAUUUGAACCUCCUUGGCAGGGUGAAGACAAUAGAAGGUUCUACAAUGAGGGGAAUUCAUCUGCAAGAGAGUGCAAAAAUCAACCAGUCCCUUUUUGCCUCACUGAUUACUAUUCUAAUAAUUACCCUUCUAUUAUUCUUCCAUUCCCUCUUCUUUUUCUUGGCAACUUGUCUACAUGUUUCUCAAGGAUGUCUUUGAACUUUGGUUCUGUCACUCUUCAGAAUAUGCCAAAUGAUUUAAGAUCGCAAACAGAAGUUUAUAUUUUAUAUA